GUUUUUGCCCAGAGAGGCGCUUUGAUCUUUUUCAAAGAGGAAAGUCCGAGCAAGGAAUACAGCUUCAUGGCUAACGGCCAUCCGGUACAGCGUAAUCUGUAUUGAGGGAAAGUGCCGCAGAGACUAUACUAUCUCAUUUUUUGAGAGAAAGGUGAAAAGUCCAAAGGUGUAUUUAUGCUACUUUGGAACCCCAUCAGUGAUGAUGCGUGUGUUGGUAAACCCGAAGUCCUUGCAAGCAGGGUUGGACCUGAGCAAUCAGGACCCCUGUGCUAGACUUUGUGAGUAAUUGCAAAGGAAAGAUAGAUGUCUCUCACUCAUUUAUGAGAACAGAACUCGGCUUAUCGGGCAAAAACGUUU
rnacentral:RNase_P_RNA from 1 species